UUUCUAUGUUGUGAGUGCGUGCAUUUGUGUUGUCCGGUGUUUGAAGACGCUUGGAAUUUCGCUUUCAAUUUCUUCAUAGGAAAAAUGUCGGGUGAUACCGAUAAAGCAAAAAUCAGUGAUAAUCAGGAUGAAGACAAGAAAUCCGGCGCGGGCGACGGGCACACGACGGAAGAUGAAUCUUCACAGGAUUCCAAGGGUGAGUCCCUAUCUCAAGAAGCCGAAGUCCAAGGUAACGCAGAUGUAGAACCCAAGGAUACGCCAGGUGAUGCAAAAUCAACAACUGCAAACGGAAAAGAAGACGGACCUGCUAGCGACUCUAAAGAUGAAAAAGACGGAAAGGCUGACGUAGACAAAAAGGAAGAAAAUGGUGAAACUCACGAUGAAAAUGAAAAAGAUGAUGUAAAAGAAAACAACAAGGGCGGCAAGAAAGCAGCACUAAAGAAAAAACCUAAAAAAGAGGAUACUGAGGAGGAGGAUGAAGAUGAAGAAGAGGAGGAGGAGGAAGACGAAGAAGGGGAGGAGGGAGAUGAGGAAGAUGAGAAGGACGAGAAGAAACCUAAGGACAAAGUAAAGAAGCCGGUGAAGAAAGCUAAAGCCGGUGAAGAGGAGGGCGAUGAUGAGGAGGAGGGUGAGGAAGAGGGCGAGGAGGAGGAGGAAGAGGAAGAAGAGGAGGAGGAGGCGCCCAAACCUAAACCCAAAAAAGAGCCAACAGAACCACCGGUGCCGCUGCCAGCGGGCAAGGGCCUGCCCUUGGGACACAUCAACAACGUUGAGAUCUCGCUAUCACGGUUCAAGACACAGGACCAGAAAUUAUUGCAUCAGUAUUUAUAUGGGCAACUAUGCCUGGAUCGCAACGUGAAACGGAAUAUAAAGAAGUUCAAAGGCUACGAGUGGGCCAUCGGCUCGGCGGAGUACAAGGCCAAGCUCGACGAGACCUCCAAGAUGGAGCUCAAACAACUGCGCACCAUGUGCGAAAUGCUUGACUUGGACAAGAAGGGUGGUCCCAACGACUUGGCGACUCGGAUAGUAGGGUUCUUACAGCAGCCGGUCGCGAACUCGCCGCACUCGCGCGGAGUGGCGAGGCCGCCGCCCGCCGCCGCCACGCCCGGGGGCCGUCCGAGGAGAUCCGCCGCCGUCAAGAUACACAAUCGAGGGUAUUCAGAUGAGGAAUAUGAAACUGAUCCAGAAACCAAAGUCAAAGGACCUAAACCACCAAAGGAUGGAUCUGAAGACUCUGAUGGUUCGUUUAACCCGAGCGGGUCGGAAGCGGACUCUGACUUCGACCCCGAGGGCGGCGAGGGUGCGAGCGGCGUGACCCGCAAGCGCAAGAGCACCAGCCGCCGCCGCUCCAGCGCCAAGCCCACCAAGCGCGGCGGCCGAAAGAGCAAGGGGAAGAAGGGCAAGCCGGCUGCUACCAAAGGGCGCGGGCGAAAAGCAAAAUCAGAAAGCGAAGAGGAAAGUGACAAAUCGGAGAGUGAAAGCGAGGCCGGAGAGUCCGGUAGCGAUGCGGAAGAAUCCGAUGAGCCGAAGUCCAAACGCGGCCGUCCAGCGCCCACGCCAGUGGCAAAGGGCCGCAAGGGCGCCGUGGCCAAGGCCAGCGCCAAGGCUACGCCCGCCAAACGGAAAGCGCCAACGCCGCCAGCCAAAAAGAAGGCUCCAGCAAAACCUGCAGGCAGGCCGGCCAAGAAGGGCAAGAAGGCUUCCUCCGAGGAGUCCGGGGAGGGCAGCGAAGAGGAAGAGGAUGAGGAGGAGGGGAGUGAAGAUGAGAGCGGAGAAGAGUCCGACGCUCCCGCAGACAACAAGAAAGCCAAGCGGCCGCCCACGGACGAUGAGAUAAAGAAGUACGUGAAGCAGAUCCUAGAGGGCGCGAACUUGGAGCAGAUCACGAUGAAGACGGUGUGCAAGCAGGUGUACAGCCACUACCCGGACUUCGACCUCGCGCACAAGAAGGACUUCAUCAAGGCUACCGUCAAAUCGUGUAUUUAAGAUGUUAGGAGUUAAGGAAGAAGUGUAGAUGACUACGUAGAAUACCUAUAGUUUAUAAACGGACAUAGUUAUAUAUUAUUACAAUAAUAAUAUAUUAUGAAAAAUAAAAUAUCAAGUGGAAUCAACUCCCGCUUUUCUUUUCCAAGCUCAUAUCAUCGUGAGCGCUGACGUCGGCCCAAGCAUUUAGCGCAGUAAGCGACAUAAGUUAGACUAAUUCCCGUUCGCCCGCUCACACAUCGGCGCGGUCGCUGGGUAGUUCCCUAGUCUAAGCGUUCACUAAAUACAUUAUUGUAUUACUUGUUUCGUCUAUUUUUUUAUUUUGUAUUAAUUGUAUUCAUUAAUUUUAUUGGACGAUCCAUAUUCUGCCUCUUUUGUCUAGAUAAACACUUGUCUAUGACCUUCUUUUUUAAGCUUAUAGAAUUAAAUCAAAGUUAAAACAAUACCGGAAUUCAUAGUCAAUAUAGGGGCUUCUUUAAAGGACGAUUCAGACGACAUGUGUCAUCUGACCCUUUAUCGAUUGCAUAAAGGUUGAAUGUGACAUAUAUCGUUUGUACCAUCCUCUAAAGAAACCCCUAUCUUGACUAUGAAUUCCAGUGUAAGGCCUACUUGCAUAAGUCACGCUGAGUUGUUCGAAACAAAUUCAAAAAUUUAAACGGAGAUUAACCCAUUCAAUCAUUAGUCUCCAUAGAAUUCUUGUGAUUAAAUUAGUUUAAUCUCCACUUUAGAAUUUGUUUCAAACUACUCAGUGUUAAAUUGAUUUAAAUAUUUUAAUGCUGCUACUUUUGGGGACAAAUAUUCUUACCAAAAAAUGACAGCAUUACAAAAUUUAACUAAACCGUCCUCGUGCAAAUAGGCCUAAAAUUAAUAGUGACUACUUGUUCUCUUGAAUGUCUUUUAAUUUUUUUUUGUUACCUACACAUUGCAUAUGCUUUAAGGCAUAAAGUUGAAAAAAAUAAUCUAGAAACCUUAGUAAGUCAAUGAAAAUAUUUCACCAAACAUCAAGUUUCUUGAAAAGUUUUGCUUGGAACAUUUUUCCCUUAAAAACUAUGGCUUAUCUCUCUAGGUACGUGAUUGAUAUACCAGGUUUUAAGCAUACGUAUAGACAUCAAAGUCACUAGUGGUUCAUUCACUAAAUCCUAUUUACAUUUAUGUCUUACAAUAGAGGUAGAAUAUGGAGAUGUUAUCUAUAAUUAUUAUAAUACUUUAUUUUUAUAUUAUUAUAAAAUAUAAAAAUAUAAGGAGAACGAUGACAGUAUAAACUUCAUACAAAUAUUAUAUUGAAUUAUUUUGCUAUCAGUGUGUAUUUGAAUUGAAUUAAUAAAUUUAGAAUUUAUUGGGAACAAAAAAUAUAAAAUUAUUCAAAUAAAAUUAUUGUAUUAAUUGAUUAUAAUCCAUCAUGAUUGCUAUUUUACAGAUAACAAUGUGAAAAGCAAAUAUGACUCAUAAAAAAUGACUUCCCACGCGCCAUUUCAACAUUGUGUCAAGUACCAUAUCAAAAGUAUGACUAUACCUUAUUUUAAAGAUGAACCUUUUGACAUGACAGUUGAGCCAUCGAGUUAAAAUGGCGCGUGAGAAGGCAUUUCGUACGGAUAUUACAACUAAUUUAGCACCAUUCUGUAUUUAUUUAAUUCGACAUAUGUAUGACGUACGUACUGUGAUGAUUCGCCUUAAACAAGUUUCAUUUUGAAAUCUGACUUUUGUUGUGAAAAGUGUACCGCGUCGGGACCAUUUCGUUUUUAUCUAGAACUAUUUAACUCCGUACAUUUGGUAUAUCAUAAGCAUCGAAUAUUGUACAAAAUCUAAAGCCUCCAGUUCACGUUGGCCGAACGUGUUCGGCGAGUGCCUGCUGACUUGUAAACGCUUUCUAAUUCCGCCAAGAUCCUUCGAAGCGUGCAUCAGUCUGCUGGUCACACGCGGCAAUUAAUAUACGCCUGACGGGUUGGCCCAACGUGUACGAUGAGCAAAAUAUUCGAUCCGGCUUCGACGGACAUAUUUCACUAACAACAUAUUAAUCGCCUAGUAGAGUAUCAUCAGAUUGUAUGUCUGUGUAUAAAAUGUUGUUAAUUGGGGGGUAGUUUAUAAAAUACGUUCGCAAUAGCAAAAGCUGACCGCAUAUUGCGAUGCGGGCCGCACGCACCGAAAGCAAAGCUUUCUCGAUACUGAAAGUGCGAGUUGUAUCGUCAGCAGAAAUAUCUCAAAUGAUGUCAUUGUUAUGUUGUCGACAUAUUUUGUUGGCGACAUCUGCAUAUUCAGUGCAAAUGCGCUGCGUUCGGUGCAUGCGGUUCGAUCCGUCGGUUGUAACCAGCAUUAGAAGGUAUAUUAAGCGAAUAUAAUAUGUAUUAAUCAUUGGUUUUAAGAGUAGUUGAGAGAAAAAUCGAUUGUCAUUAUUUUUAUUUUUGUACUUACAAGAAAUAAGUGUGUUCGUUUAUAAUUAUUAUUAUAAUAAGUAUAAUUUCAAUAAAUAUUUUGUUGUAUUAAGGCAAUAUGAAUUAUUAUUUAUAUUUCUUUUUUUUAAACCUUACACAUUAGACGAAAGCUACGGAUAUAACUCGAAGUUUUGCGCAACGUAUUUUAUGUACAGCCCCACGUUUUAAAAGGUGUGGUAUGUAAGAUUAUUUUUCUAAUGUAGGCUGUAAACUAUUAUUUGCAGUCUAAGCACUAUCGCGAAUCUAUGUAAGGUUUGAUUAAGUGUACUUUUAAGACGUGUAAAUACACAGGACUGCACCGUUUGAGAAUCGCUUCGCUGACAUCGUCGGGUAGAUUGAAAAAAAAAAAUUAUUCUUAUACAAAAAUUUUGGUGAAGCCACCGUUCGAAAUGGUAAUAAUAUUUUUUAAUCGAUUUGAUUUUCGUGUAUCAAUUAAAAGCAGUUGCAGCAAACUACUAUUAUAAUAAUUAUUGAGAAUUUUAAGUUUUUAAUAAGUAACGAUUUGUGCAAUAACGCUAUUCCGAGUAUAUGAAACAGACAAUGCGUCUGAGAUUAACAACUAAUAGGUAAAAAAGGUGACUUUGAGUGCAGUGGGCGAUCUAUCGAUCCUUUUGGUGGUACAAACUUAGGCAUGACAGCGAAGGUGCCUGCCGCCGCCAUUUGUGGUCCCUCCCAUAGUUUCUGGAAUGUAUCACGGGUUUUUACCUGUGGUCGCUCCGAAAAUUACAAUGCUGCUGAAUUAAAAUGGUAGUCCCUUCGUAGUCUGUAGGAGGUUGUUUAUGGUAGGAGGUAUCCGUCCCUCCGAGAAAUACAAUAACAAUGCUACCGAAUUAAAAUUGUACCUGAGUCGAGUCAUAAUAAAGCCAAAGGCAUUUCACUUUUCAUUAAAUGUUCACUUUUGUCUUUAAUCAAAUAAAAAAAUUAAAAACUUUUUUCCAAAAAAAACACCGAAAUUUUAAGAAAAACACUACAACGUAAAAAGUAUGUAACUUUGAUUUCGGAAUUCAGUGUCUUUCGUAUUUUCAUUUAAAUUCGUUAUUUUUCGCUUUGUGGUGUAUUCUUGGAAAUCGGUUGUUUUUUUAAUAAUGCCUGACUGUAUUAUGACUUGAUCUAGGUACAAUUUUAAUUUGUUAGCUAUUUUUCGGAGGGACUACGGGUCAAAAAAAAUACCCAUGAUAACUUCUAGGGACACGGGUGUGACCACGGCCAAGGAACUGCCAAGCGCUCCAGUUCCGUAAUGGACCUUUCGCUCCUCGCGCUGUAGGAAAGUACAGUACCUUACCCACGCGCAGGUACAUCGCUUCCACUGCCAUGAGAUCUUUUUACCUGACGGCAUGUGUAAGUUCAUAUACAAAUGCGAAAUAUUGCAUGAAUAUUAAAUAAAUGAUUUGUUUUCACUGUUAAGGUGCUCGUAUAGCAUUUUUGUAUGUUUUUCUCUGUUACUUGUGGCCGAACAGUCGCUAAGUCCGUGGGUGAGCUAACAUUCUAGGUAUAAUUGUCUGGACGCACCUAGAUUUUACAGAAUGCCUUCCGGUAUAGAGACCUGUUAUGUCUAUAUUUGAAGUCUUUAUUCCGUGACGCAUUCCGAAAUAUCUUGAUAUCUAGGGCUGUGACUGGAUUGACUUGUGAUUAUAUUUUCUGCAUUUGAACUUGCUUUGACCGCAAUAUAAAUGUUGCAAUGUAUGAAUAUAGAGGUUCUAUUUCACGGAAACCGUUUGGCUAUGUUUGUGUGAGUGUACACGUACACAUUGUUACAGGUGCAAUAUGCGUGGCACUCAGGUUGAAAUCCAUAGAACGCACUUUGACUUUGCUUUGACUUAAGUUUCAGUUAAAAAGAGACAGAUCUAUGCAAGCGGUAUAACGCUGUCUCGUUUUAACAGUGUCUUAAGUCUAAGCAAACUCAAAGUGCGCUCUAUAGAUCACAGUCAGUCUCGACUGCGACGUUUACGUUACGCACACAAAUGCGUUAACGCGUAUCGGUACACUCACUAACACACCCAAAGCUGAGCAGUCUUCAUGAAAUAGAACAGCUGUACUAUGCAAGCCUUCAAAAGUUAAGUAAGUCAAUCUGGGUGAAGUCUUAGGUAUAUAAUAAAGAUUAUAUCCAUAAUUCAGCAUCUUUUUGCAUUGCACACUUUGAUAAUAAAAAUAAAAUCAAUUAAAAAAUCUUUUUAAGAACUAGCUUUUACUUAAGCUAUAAUAUACUAAAAUGAAUAAGACAAAUCCAACGAGCUCAAGCGACGGAGUUAUGAUGGAUAUAUAGUAGGGGUUGCUCCAUCAUGAGACCCUGGACAUCGUCAGGCCCUGCAUACCAGCGACGAUAGUGACGUUAAAUGAUGCUGAAAAAUGGAAAAACUGUUAUUAAAUAAACGGCACCGAUAUUCUAUUACAAUUUUUGGUUAUUCUUUAUAUAGGUUCCUCCUUCAGUCAACUCUCGGUGCGACCAGACCAUUAGUUCUAAGAUAGAUUUAAUCAACAUUAAAUGUGUAAUUGUGAAUUAAACCUUAUUUUGGUUGAUGUUUCUUUAUAUUGUGUAAAUGGCAGACGAUCCGUAGAAAAGUAGUAGACACAGAGUGAUUGGUUUCCCUUUUACAAUUGGAAUAUAGAUAAUAAAGCAAAUAAAAGUUUGAAAUGUCUA